rnacentral:lncRNA from 1 species
UAGAAAUGAAAUAUACCCCUAAGAUAUAAUUUUUGGGCUUAUAAAAAGGGUCACGUACGCCAUAUUGAGAAAAAAAGGCCACACACAUUGAAUACACGGCCAUUGAGAGAAAAACGAAGAUAGGGAGGGAAACACGUGAGAGAAAAGAAGGGCAAUAGAGAGGUCUUCGUGUAAGAAGGAGCCGGAUCCUUCAACUCUGAAAAUUGUCCACGACCGUCAGAAAAGACGAACGGAGAAUCCCUCUUCUGCAAGUUGGACAUCUAAGCAUUGAAAAAGCAUUGAAGGAGAAACUGCGAGAAGAUAGACACGCACAAGAGAGAGAACGAAAUAUUCUCUCUCCACGACGCUGCCCGCAAGACCUUGACUCCAUCUUCGUUGUAGCGUCUUCGCGUGACCACCUCAGCAGUGCGACCAAGACCCCCACGAGUCCCGCAAAUCGGAUGCCACCCUUGCCGACAUAGUUCCAUUGCCUCGUGACGCUGCUGCUGCCCGAGGCGUGCCACCUCGACGUUGAGCCGCCCCUUGGUUUGUGGUGACAUUGCCUACCGCUGCUUUGCUGAUUUGUUCGUUGGUUGCUACCCACGGGCACUUUGUUGAACCACCGUCAAAUUUAUCAACCGUGAAUCAUCCACCACGGAGCCAACAGUGAAGGACAAGUUCUGCACAUUAACGAAAAGACGUGAAGGAGGGCACGCUUACUUGGAAGACUUCAUCACCACACCAUCAUACAGGGAAGAGAGGUCGUGGGAGGUGUGGAGCCUAAUAGAGAGGGAGGCAAUUUCUCUGGAGGUCAACGAAGGACAAUCACGAAGACUCUCUCUCGGAUUCUACUCCUUCACUGAGAAAACUUACAGACUUCAAUGGCCAAUGUAGAGCCUUGCACCACCGUGAACCCAUGCUUUAUUGAGAAAGCUUGCCGUGGAGCCCGUGAUUGAGCAGUUGCCACACCUUACCUCUCACCAUCGGCAACAAGCCCCGUUGAGCACUUGCUGAUUCCUGCACCACUAUUGAGCUCGUCCCCAGAUCGAGCUGGCCGAAUGAGUUUUUUUGUUUUGUUUUGUAGGUCAUUGGUUAGCCCCUUUGCUGUGCCGAAUUCUCUGACCCAUUGGCCAUGAACCGCCCAUCCAUCACUCACCAAUCGCAAGUCGUAAAUUCGGAAACCGAUAUUCGGAAUAGGUAAAAAUUUUGUCUAUUUUGAUUUUCAAAAAUUCUGUUUCCUUAUUGAUAUGUUUGUUGAUGAUAUGCUAAGGUAUCCGUAGUCUCGAGUAGCCUUAUAAGCUGGGAAAUUUUCCCAAUUUCAUAACGUGCAUAUGAUUGACAGUUCGAUUUUCGCGCCCGAAAUCUGACUCGCAAUUGCAUGGAAAAAUCGCCAAUCUGAUCUCACGCUCGAGAUUCGAUUCGCGAUUUUUUUUAAAUUUGGCCAACCCAAUCUCAUGCGCAAGAUAUGGUUCGCCAAUUUUUGGAUAUCAAUCUUAUCUUGAUUGAUUUGCCAUCGUGUGGUUUGAGUCGAUCUUGUUUUCGUAGAAAGGAAAAAAUCAAAAAAAAAAAUUGAAUUAGGAUUAGGUUCCUUUUAGAAUAUUCCUAGUCUUAGGGUUAUCUUGCAUGUUUAGAAUUGCGAUCUUAUUUCGAAUUUUAAAAAAUCCAAAAAAUGCGUUCAUUUAGGAUGUUAGUUUUCUUUAAUUUAAAUGGGACGUUUAAUUAUUUGGCAAUUUUAAAUUUCAAAUUUUACAAAGAGAAAUACAAAAAAAAUCAUCAUGCAUGUAUCAUGUAGAAUUAUGGCAUCCUUGGCACGUCAUUGCAUAUUAGGUUGAUUGCAUGUUUAAAUUUUAUUUGGAUAGAUCCUUUUAGAUAGAUUGCAUUUUAGGUUAGAGAUUACUUGGUCAAGAUAAGAUUCUAGUUUAAAUUAGGAUUUGGCUUAACCUAAUUCCUAAUACAAAUUGAAUAGAAUCUUAAUCUAGCUGGAUAAUGUUUGCAUUUUUCUAAUUUCGAAUUUCAUGGAAAAUAGAAAAACAUUGCCUUAGAAUUAAUAAAAUUUCAUUCUUUAGGAUAGACUGCAUCUUAUUUAUGUCAUAUAGUUUAAGUCAUAUUGCCAUGCUAUAUCAUUACAUGUUAGAUUAGUAACAUUGCAUUGCAUGUAAAUUAGGUUCUCAUUAAGAAAAGUGAAAACGAAAAUUGGGUAAUUGCGUGUUAAUCAUAUUUGGGAUUGUCGAUGUGAAUUUUAAUUUAAUAUUGCAGAUGCUUUCGAUGCUUUAAGGUAAGUUUUUGCAAUUUAUUUAUUAUUUAUUUGGAUGUUAAAUUGGUGGUUUACGUACCCGCAUGAUCAUCUCACACGUUAGGGAAAUUGAUUUAAAAUCAAUUCAAGCUGCUUGCCAAACAUUUUUGAAAAUAAAAGAAUGGUACCGAAAGGGUAUUAGAGGAAUCUAGUAUAACCAAGUCCCCGUACCCAUAGUAUCUGGUUCGCAGGAGUAAAAUAAUUAUCCCGUUAUUUUACUUGGGUUUCUAAUCGACCCACCAAAAACAUAUUAGUGGCGACUCCUAAUUGAAAAUCAAUUGCAUGUUAAGAACUUGAACCGAAAGUCGCGAAUUGGUAUGGGCUUGGAAGAGCCCGAGUUAAGUCUAGGCUUAACAAUCCAUUAGCCAAAUCUUAGGUGGUUCACACCCGAAAAAAAUUGAUCAUGACAGUAUUGUUAUGUCUCAGGACAAGCUGUAAACCUAAACAAGUCUAGCAUCUAUUUUAAUAAAGAUUGUCCUCAUCUAUUAAGGGAUAAUAUGAAAAGAGAAUUGUGGGUUUCAGAGCUAAAGCGGUCAGGUAAGUACUUGGGAAUCCCCUCUAACUGGGGAACAUCGAAAAGACAAAUGUUUGCAUGGAUUUUAAAUAGGGUAAACAUGAAAUUAGAGGGCUGGAAGGAAAAAAUUAUAUCUAAAGUAGGCAAGGAAAUACUCUUGAAAUCAGUGGUACAGGCAUUACCUCAAUAUGCCAUGUCAGUUUUCAAAAUUCCAGUUUCAAUUGGCAAGGCUAUAGAGAAGAAAAUAGCAAAUUUCUAGUGGAAAAAUAGUGAAUCAAAAAAGCUGGUUUGCAUUGGAAUCGAUGGAAAAUUAUGAAAAUGAGGAAAGACAAGGAAGUAAUGGGUUUUAGAGACCUACUUACUGUUAAUAAUGCCCUUUUGGGUAAAUAAGCUUGGAGGAUGGUAAAGAAUUCAGAUGCACUAUGGAGUAAACUAUUAAAAGGGCUCUACUUCUGUUGCAAAGACUUCCGGUAUGCUAAUAAAGGACCUAAACCUUCAUGGGGUUGGAAAAGUUUACUUUUAGAAAGGGAGGCUAUAGCGGAUUCAGUGAGAUGGUCAAUCGGAAACGGUCUAAAUGUCAAUAUCAGAACAGAUAAAUGGCUGAAGCAAGGAUUAAUUGGAGGGCCAGCAAACAAAAGUGACCCACAAAAAGUUUCUAAGUUGAUGAACUUUGAAGCAGAGCAAUGGAAUGAACCGUUGUUAAAUAACCUAUUUGAUGAGCAGACUACUCAGGAGAUUCUUGCAAUCCCAAUUAAUCGUCACAUUACAAGUGAUGAACUGAUAUGGACAGGCACAGAGAAUGAGUCUUUUACAAUAAAAAAUGGCUAUAACAUCUUAAGAGAUAGAAUGACAGCAAACAAAGCAAUGGAACAUCCCUCUUCCUCAUAUCAAACAUCGUCAGAACUAUGGAAUGCAAUAUGGAAAAUGUGGACUAGCCCCAAAGUGAAGAUUUUCGUUUGGAAUGUUUGUCAAAAUACCAUCCCAUCCAAGGAGAACCUAUGGAAAAGAAAGAUCUUACCCGAUUUGGUUUGUGAUCUUUGCCGAGAUAAGGUGGAAACGGUCGAACACAUUCAUCUCCUCUACCCUUGGACCACAAGGGUUUGGAGCCACCCGGAAAUCAACCUACAAGUAGACGCACAAGAGGUUACACAAAUGGAUGAGUGGCUAGUGUGAUUUAUCAGAAAAAACACGAACUUACCACACCCCUGGAAACGAUCAGAAACCUCCUUUGGCAAGUAUGGAAGGAGCGCAACAACUUUAUUUUUCAAGGUACUAAACCGGAUGCCUACAAAGUGGUAGAUCUAGCCCGAUUUCAGCAAGAAAGCUACCAUAAAUGGGGCUUUAUACAUCUACAAGCAGAAAAGGAAGAAGAUAUAGAGAUUUCUCAUACUUGGCAAGCCCCAGCAGCCAUUUUCUUCAAGCUUAAUGUUGAUGGGUCGCUUUGCAAGGGAUUGACGAAAGGAGCAGUGGUUCGUGUUGUUCGGGACUCUUCCGGUAGCCUUGUUGAUGGAUUCACAAAGCUUGUUUGGGCGGGAUCGAUCCUUCAGCUAGAAACCCUAGGAGUGCUCGAAGCUUUGAAGUACUAAAAACAAAAGCAACUGGGGAAGGCUUUGGUGGAGUCUGACAACUGAACACUCGUGAACUCCCUAAAGAACUCGAACGAAGUGAAC